rnacentral:rRNA from 1 species
CUACGUAGGGUGCGAGCGUUAAUCGGAAUUACUGGGCGUAAAGCGUGCGCAGGCGGAUGUUUAAGCCAGACGUGAAAGCCCUGGGCUUAACCUAGGAAUUGCGUUUGGAACUGGACAUCUAGAGUGCGGCAGAGGGAGGUGGAAUUCCACGUGUAGCAGUGAAAUGCGUAGAGAUGUGGAGGAACACCGAUGGCGAAGGCAGCCUCCUGGGCUGACACUGACGCUCAUGCACGAAAGCGUGGGGAGCAAACAGGAUUAGAUACCCUGGUAGUCCACGCCCUAAACGAUGUCGACUAGCUGUUGGGCGGGCAACUGCUUAGUAGCGAAGCUAACGCGUGAAGUCGACCGCCUGGGGAGUACGGCCGCAAGGUUGA